rnacentral:rRNA from 1 species
UAUAUGUAGGAGUUAUGAUGCGAGUUACUCNUUGUAGUAUUGCUUGCACAUACUUUUACAUUUAUUCGCAAGAUGUUGUCGGCGUGCACUUCUCCCCUAGUAGAACGUCGCGACCCGUUGGGUGUUGGUCUACGACCCGAGUNGGGAGCCUUNUAAUAUUUUNAUAAUAUUGAAGACCCUUGGUGUUUUCUGACCGGCUGCCCGGCGGUACUCGUACGGUAUUUAGCCGCAAUUUAUNUUGCGUCCAUGUCCGUUGCAAGCGAGGCUAAUUUCUGGUA